UCUCACGAAUGAGAAAAGAAGUGGUUUCUUACGAUGGAAUCUACUCCUGGUGAAGAUGCUGUGAA
rnacentral:pre_miRNA from 1 species